AGCAGUUUGGAAGCAAUGGAAGGUGCAUCUAGGACUGUCUAACCUGAGAAUGGUGAAUCUCAGGGUCAAUCUCAGGUUUGUCAGCCCAUGAGGUGCCUUCUCUAGACCUCGAAUCCCGGA
rnacentral:pre_miRNA from 12 species